GGAGUGUUUAUAUCCCUGUGAGUUUAACACUUCAUGACUGAGAGCUGUCCUUCAUGACAACAGAACCCACAACAACCAUGACUUUUAUCACCAUCUUCAUCUGGACACUGGCACUCUGCUUUCAAGAAUCCGGAGGACAGAUAAGUGUAACUCAGACUCCUGCAGUGAGAGCUGUUCUCCCAGGACAGUCAGUCUCUCUGAACUGUAAAACCAGCAGUAAUGUUUAUAACAAUAACCAACUAUACUGGUACCAACAAAAAGCUGGAGGAACUCCUAAACUCCUUAUUUACUAUGCUAAAACACUUCAGUCUGGGACUCCAUCUAGAUUCAGUGGUAGUGGAUCUGGGAGUGACUUCACUCUGACCAUCAGUGGAGGCCAGGCUGAAGAUGCAGGAGAUUACUACUGUCAGAGUUACCACAGUGGUGGAGUGUUCACACAGUGAUACAGAGCCAUACAAAAACCUCCCUCAGUCAGACUGUACAGUUACUGUACUGCUACAGCUGGGAUCUACUGCAGGUUCUGAGGGGGUCAACUUUGAAAACAGUUGAAAGUAUCAUACAAAUCACAUGUUCUCCAACGUCUUUGUCAUCGUCAUCAUCAUCAUCAUUAUUAUCAUCAUCAAGA